UACGUAGGGGGCAAGCGUUGUCCGGAGUUACUGGGCGUAAAGCGCACGCAGGCGGUCAUGUUAGUCUGGGGUGACAGUUCCCGGCUCAACUGGGAAAGUGCUCUGGAAACUGCAUGACUUGAGGGCUUCAGAGGGAUGUGGAAUUCCAGGUGGAGUGGUGAAAUGCGUAGAGAUCUGGAAGAACACCAAUGGCGAAGGCAGCAUCCUGGGAAGUACCUGACGCUCGGGUGCGAAAGCUAGGGGAGCGAACGGG
rnacentral:rRNA from 1 species